rnacentral:rRNA from 1 species
AGAACCUUACCAGCCCUUGACAUACCAAUCGCGAUCUCCAGAGAUGGAUUUCUUCAGUUCGGCUGGAUUGGAUACAGGUGCUGCAUGGCUGUCGUCAGCUCGUGUCGUGAGAUGUUGGGUUAAGUCCCGCAACGAGCGCAACCCUCGCCCUUAGUUACCAUCAUUUAGUUGGGUACUCUAGGGGGACUGCCGGUGACAAGCCGGAGGAAGGUGGGGAUGACGUCAAGUCCUCAUGGCCCUUAUGGGCUGGGCUACACACGUGCUACAAUGGCAAUGACAGUGGGCAGCAACCUCGCGAGAGGAAGCUAAUCUCUAAAAAUUGUCUCAGUUCGGAUUGUUCUCUGCAACUCGAGAGCAUGAAGUCGGAAUCGCUAGUAAUCGCGUAUCAGCAUGACGCGGUGAAUACGUUCCCGGGCCUUGUACACACCGCCCGUCACACCAUGGGAGUUGGUUUUACCCGAAGACGGUGCGCUAACCGCAAGGAGGCAACCGGCCACGGUAAGGUCAGCGACUGGGGUGAAGUCGUAACAAGGUAGCCGUA